GGAAAGUGAUAGUUCGUGCUCUUGAAGAAAAUGCUAGAGCUUCCUACAAUUUGGACACUCUUUGAACUACAGAGCCGUUUGAGAAAGAACCAAUUCAGUCAUGCUAUGAAGUAGCUACACAUGUUGCUGUCAUGAAUUUGUUAUUUGAUGAUGCUGAUGAAAAAAGUUUAUGCAUUGAUGAAAGCCAUGGAGCGGAGUCUAUGAAAAUAAAGAAAGAAAGAAGCCGUAGCUAAAGAUAGAGAAGCUGCAGCAGCUAAGGUGGAUGCUAACAAAAAGAACAGAAUUAUAAACUCAUCUAAGAGGUUGUAAUUACUUUUCAACAGCCUCAAUACCAUUCUUUCCUUUUGUAUUUUGCUUCUGUUGCAGCAUCCCUUUCAAACAUUAAAAAUUUCAAAUCUGAUCACCUGAAUAUAUGAUUGAUUUUAUGAUUUACUUCUAAUUGCUGGGGGUAACAAAAGCAUCUUGAAUGUUUGCUUACACGAGAUUUAUUGAAGAUCAUGUGGAGAUUUAGUCUUUAUGAGCAAUGUGUUCUAUUUUUUAUAUUAAGAACAAUCCAACUGCUGUAUACCACUACAGCUAAAUUAAUCAACUACAAAACCCGCAGCAGUUAUUUUUUCUCUUUCGGCUCUCUUCUCCCCCUUCAGAAAGUGAUAGCCACGGAUUGCGACAGAGAGAGAGAGAGGUAUUCUGUGUCUUCUGGGUCCCUUCACUAUUCUGCGAGAGAGAGAACGAGGGAGUGAAGGCUGAUCCGAGAGAGAGGAAGAACAGGGAACGGGAAGAGGAAGAAGAAUUUGAUACACCAAGUUGAGAAGAAGAUCAUCUUCUUCAAAUUUGCAGGUAUGACAAAUCAAAAUGAUAGUUGGGCCGACAGCAAAGGGAUCUUCAUUUUAAGAGGCUUCCAACAAAGCUUUUGCUGAUGCAUAUGCGGUGACGGCAGUUAGCCAAGAAGUUGUUCAUCCGGAAAGUUCCAAUUAAAAGAAGCAGAGUUCAAAGCUCCGUCUAUCUAAGCUUCUAUAUAUAUAAAUGAAAGAGAGGGGAGGAUUUACUAUUGUUCAUCAGGCUGUUGGCACUAACAGAACUGAGCCAAAUCCUAAAGGUGAAAAACCCAUAAGCAUUGAUAUAGAGAACAUCUGAGAAAUAUAUGAGCUGAAGACACAAAUGCAACUUCUAAAAGUUCCUCACAAGAUGACCAGACAAAGAGGGACUCAGAUUACUCUUCAAAUGAGAAUUGGCGCCAUGAUGAGCCAUUAUCUGUAUCUGCCAUCCUAUUACCAAUUAAUCAUUUUGAAUUGGUAAGCCUAUAGAAGACAGAAAUGUGCCUGCGUUUAUCCAGUUGAUGAUUUUGUACUGAAUUAUUAUGGGAUUACCUGGACAGGAGAUUGUUGAUUGCUAUGUAUAAGCAGGGUUUAAUUUUAUGUGUUGGAUAUUUAUCUACAAUUUACAUAAUAUAUGCAGUUCAUACUCUGUUCUGUAAAUUACUCCCUCCUGGAAAUUUCAUUUGGGUGUUGACUAAUUCACUAUAGAAACAAAGAGUAGCCUUUUUACAGUUAUUAAAUUUUGAUAACAAGAUUCAACCAUUUAUCCUGUAGUGACUGAUCAAGCAUUUAUAAUUUAUAUCAAAUAUAAUAGCAACAUGAUCAAACUAUCGUGCUAGCAAUUUGUCCUAACUAAAUACCACAUGUCUCAAUAAUAGAGCUCCUGCAACUUCUAGGUGUCUGUUCCUUUAAUUACGCUGUUUUACUCACAAAAUUUGUAUCAGCAUUCCUAUUUACUUUUAAUAAAUUAGUCUCCAGCAUAAUGGUGUGAGCAUGUAUAAAAAAAAUGAUCUUUGGUAUCUCUGUUAUGCUCAACAAGUCACCACUAAAAUCUUUGCCAGCCUAAAGCACUCUGAUACAAUCAUAAACAUGCCAGAGGAAAAUCCUGCUGAAAAUAAUAUGGUGACUAAAUCCCUUCCUAUAUUUGAUUUGAUUUUGUAGUUUUUUUUUUUCAUUUUCUUUAUGUUAUUUGUUGCUGGGAUGUCAUUAUUUCCAGUUUCUGUCGAUCAUCAUUGGGAUUUGUUUGUAGUCUUGAAAGUUUUCGUGCUUUUGAGGCUGAAAUUGUUACCUUUUUAAUGUUUUGGUGUCAUGAUCUUCUGAUUUCAUUCCUUGGCCCUUUC